GCCUGGGUGGCUCAGUCAGUUGAGUGUCUGACUUCAACUGGGUCAUGAUCUCACAAUUUGUGGGUUCGAGCCCCGCAUCGGGCU
rfam:Felis catus breed Abyssinian Contig165158.1, whole genome shotgun sequence. [26-MAY-2016]